rnacentral:rRNA from 1 species
AUUGAACGCUGGCGGCAUGCCUUACACAUGCAAGUCGAACGGUAACAGGUCUUCGGGUGCUGACGAGUGGCGAACGGGUGAGUAAUACAUCGGAACGUGCCCAGACGUGGGGGAUAACGAGGCGAAAGCUUUGCUAAUACCGCAUACGAACUAAGGAUGAAAGCAGGGGACCGCAAGGCCUUGUGCGUUUGGAGCGGCCGAUGGCAGAUUAGGUAGUUGGUGGGAUAAAAGCUUACCAAGCCGACGAUCUGUAGCUGGUCUGAGAGGACGACCAGCCACACUGGGACUGAGAAACGGCCCAGACUCUUACGGGAGGAAGCAGUGGGGAAUUUUGGACAAUGGGCGAAGGCCUGAUCCAGCAAUGCCGCGUGCAGGAUGAAGGCCUUCGGGUUGUAAACUGCUUUUGUACGGAACGAAAAGGCUCUGGCUAAUACCUGGGGCACAUGACGGUACCGUAAGAAUAAGCACCGGCUAACUACGUG